rnacentral:rRNA from 1 species
CAUAGCUACUUGCAUCGUCUUAAGGAUGAUGCAAGAUCGACUAUGUCGAAUAAAAUUCUAGGUAGAAUUAUGAUAAUGACAUUGUCUGCCUAUGUGUCUUGACCAAAUUACGUGCCAGCAGUCGCGGUAAUACGUAGAAGACUAGUGUUAUUCAUGUUUAAUCGGUUUAAAGGGUACCUAGACGGUAAAUCAAGCUUUCCAAGAAAUAAAGUUAAAGGACUAAUUUACUAGAGUUACUUGUGAGGGGGUAUUAAAGUACUGCUGGUGUAGAGAUGAAAUUCUGUCAUACCUCUUUUCAAUAGAAAAAUGAUGGCACAGGUAUAGGCGAAGGCAUCCCCUUAUGUGAUAACUGACGUUGAGGGACGAAGGCUUUGUGUAGCGAACAGGAUUAGAUACCCCAGUAGUCGAAGCAGAAAAUGAUGAAUGUCAUAGAUUAGAGGUAAUUUUAUUCUAUAAAUGAAAGUGUAAGCAUUCCACCUCAUGAGUAAUUUGGCAACAUUGGAACUGAAAUCAUUAGACCGUUUCUGAAACCAGUAGUGAAGUAUGUUGUUUAAUUUGAUGAUCCGCAAAAAACCUUACCACAAUUUGAAUAUUUAUAUUUUUUUUUUAUUGUUUUCUUCUUAAUUUUUUUCUAA